rnacentral:rRNA from 1 species
GACAGAGGGGGCAAGCGUUGCUCGGAAUUACUGGGCGUAAAGGGCGCGUAGGCGGGUCUUUAAGUCAGGGGUGAAAUCCUGGAGCUCAACUCCAGAACUGCCUUUGAUACUGAGGAUCUUGAGUUCGGGAGAGGUGAGUGGAACUGCGAGUGUAGAGGUGAAAUUCGUAGAUAUUCGCAAGAACACCAGUGGCGAAGGCGGCUCACUGGCCCGAUACUGACGCUGAGGCACGAAAGCGUGGGGAGCAAACAGG